GACUACAUGAAGCUGGAAUCGCUAGUAAUCGCGAAUCAGAAUGUCGCGGUGAAUACGUUCCCGGGUCUUGUACACACCGCCCGUCACACCAUGGGAGUCAGUAACGCCCGAAGUCAGUGACCUAACCAUAAGGAGGGAGCUGCCGAAGGCGGGACCGAUAACUGGGGUGAAGUCGUAACAAGGUAAC
rnacentral:rRNA from 1 species